AUUGAACGCUGGCGGCAUGCCUUACACAUGCAAGUCGAACGGCAGCACGGGUGCUUGCACCUGGUGGCGAGUGGCGAACGGGUGAGUAAUAUAUCGGAACGUACCUUAUUGUGGGGGAUAACGCAGCGAAAGCUGUGCUAAUACCGCAUAAUCCCUAAGGGGGAAAGCGGGGGACCGUAAGGCCUCGCGCAAUUAGAGCGGCCGAUACCUGAUUAGCUAGUUGGUGAGGUAAAGGCUCACCAAGGCAACGAUCAGUAGCUGGUCUGAGAGGACGGUCAGCCACACUGGGACUGAGACACGGCCCAGACUCCUACGGGAGGCAGCAGUGGGGAAUUUUGGACAAUGGGGGCAACCCUGAUCCAGCAAUGCCGCGUGAGUGAAGAAGGCCUUCGGGUCGUAAAGCUCUUUUGUCAGGGAAGAAACAGCAGCUCUAACACAGUCCGGGAAUGACGGUACCUGAAGAAUAAGCACCGGCUAACUACGUGCCAGCCGCCGCAGUAA
rnacentral:rRNA from 1 species